AUACGGAGGAUCCGAGCGUUAUCCGGAUUUAUUGGGUUUAAAGGGUGCGCAGGCGGCCAUUUAAGUCAGCGGUUAAAUCGUGGGGCUCAACCCCAUUCUGCCGUUGAUACUGGGUGGCUUGAUUGCGGUCGAGGUUGGCGGAAUUCGUUGUGUAGCGGUGAAAUGCAUAGAUAUGACGAAGAACACCGAUUGCGUAGGCAGCUGACCAGAACGCAAAUGACGCUCAUGCACGAAAGUGUGGGGAUCGAACAGGAUUAGAUACCCUGGUAGUCCGCACAGUAAACGAUGAAUACUUGUUUUCGGCGAUAUAAUGUCGGAGGCAAAGCGAAAGCGAUAAGUAUUCCACCUGGGGAGUACGCCGGCAACGGUGAAGCUCAAAUGAAUUGACGGGG
rnacentral:rRNA from 1 species